UGAUUCUUGCUGACUUUACAUCAUGGGCUGAGCUAACACAGAGAUACGCUACAAGCCUGAACUUAUGCUUUACUUCAAGAUUGAGCAGCAUAACAUGUGGAACUCAGCGAAGUCUUAGAGCAGUUGAAGAAUGAGAAAACUGCACAUGAAGAAAAUGGUGACGGAUAUUCCUGGAGAUGUCUUCGAUUGUAUUUUCAGGUUUACCUCCCUGACAUAGAUUUUUCAGGUAGAACUGGAAGCCGCUUCUGAAAAGGUGACCUAAUCAGUCAACCUGCUGGGAAGAGGGGGAAGGAGCAGGAGAAGGAGGAAGAUGGCAGUAAUGUGACCUGGGUUUCUGUGCUGCCAGUAGCAGCUACACUCCUGCUGUGAUUCCAGCUGAGCAGUACUGCGUGGUACAUUGUUUUCGUUGUUUCCUGAUGAAGAGGGGAGGGAAAUGGGGGGACGUUCAUUUGCACAGCUACUCAAAACUCUCUGUGCUGAGGUAUAGAUGAUGUAGAGGACAUGGGUUGCUGCUCCAUACAGCUAUGUUGAUUUAGUUAAUUGAGUUGUCAUGACAACUGCUUCAUCUAAACUGCUACAGUGUAUAGGCUGUCAUUGGCACCUGACUACUCUAAGCAAACCAUUAUGCUUUCUAACAAAAUUGGUAAACUCUUAACUAUUUGGUCUGCUUACAAAUAAAGAAUGCAGUUUUAAUGGUAGAAAACAAUCAAGGACUUACUCCUUUUGUAGUAUGUCACCAAAGUUUAAUUUUAGUGACUAUCAAGAUAACUUCUAUAAGUACGGUUUGUAGCAUCAAACCAAGCUUGCCCAGAACGUUGCUGAAGAAUGCCAUUAUACUCUCAUGAAACCUAAGGGAACAGUAAGACGGAGAAAAAACUCAUACAGUAAGUUUUUGCGUAUAUGUUGUAAUAAGAAUGGAAGCUUGACAAACAGUCCAGGAGCCUAUUUCCUGCAUGCAUAGGGCUCAGAGAGGCAAAAUGCAAGGUGAAUUGUUACUUAAAAUAAACUAAAUUAAAUCUCCCAGCUCAGAUGCUUGCCAUGUUAAUUUGGGGUACUUUUCUUUGGUCUUUGCAAACUAAGUAUCAAACCUGACAUGAAAGUGACUUUCCAUUCUGACUCUUACAAUGCUCCCCCCUGGUAUGUUCUAACUCCUCCUUCAUUUCCUUUUGGCAUUUCAUCUUGAAACCCACAAAAUAGCUGUCAUUUCAUCUUGUAACCCGUAAAAUAUAAAACAAUAUAGAAUUGUUCUGAACCUAGAAGAUAAGCCAACAGUGAAUCUCAAGAGAUUGAUGGUGUUUAAAUGAGCCUCUGAGUAUAUAGUGUAGAUGACUGACUGCUCAGUGUUAAAUACACUCUAGCCUGAAGAAAAGACAGAGCAGUUUAAAUUUGAGUCAAGGAAUAAAAUAAUAUCAUUUUUCACAUUAAGUGAAUAUUAUUUCAUUUAAAGGGGGCUAGGAUUCCUUGUGAUAAUGCUUUCUAGUGAACCCAGUGGAAACUUUAAUAUCCCUGUCCUGGCAGAAUCUGGCAAAUACUCACAGCUUAAGUGGCAUUCCUUGGCACAACUGGUAGCUGAGUCACUUUUGAUGUGCCACUUGGCUUCAUAGCUGAACAAAAGGACCAUCCCCGUAACCACCUGUUUUUGCAGACUUUCUAGCUCCUGGCUCUAAGUGAACAUAGGGUGACAAUGGGUGGUUAUGGCGAUGCUCCUUUUGUUUGGCUCUGAAGCAAAGUGGCACAAGUUACUGAAGUGAUUUUCAGGUUAGUAAAUCCUUGCCUUUGGAAGUGCACUGUGCUGAGGCUCUCCCCUCACAUCUGAAAUCUAAGUUUUGGAUGAUGGGAAAGUGUCUGGAGGUAGAGAAA